rnacentral:lncRNA from 1 species
GAGUUGACAAAUUUGAUUUUUACAGGAAAAGUGUCAAUUUCAUCUUCAAAUCAUCUGCCCGUCCGUCCGGCCGGCCUGCCAAUUAAUUAUUAUUGUUGAGCUACUAUAUAUAUAUAUAUAUAUAUAUAUAUAUAUAUACACUAUUCGAUCUGUAAGCUAAAUGCUGUCUGGAUUAAUUGUAUAACAUUUUAUUAGCUAUCCUGUUUAAAUUGUAUAUAUCAUUAUAUUUCCUAUCUAGGCGUUGUGCAACAUUCUUUGAACUAGUGUGUGACAAUAAACUUCUUCUUCUUCAACCUUUUCUUCGGGUUGAUAAACGCAAUGACGUGAUUCUACUGCUUCUUGUUAAAUGUCUGAACUCAAUGACAUGAGUGCUUCGUUAUUUGCAGGUACAUUUAGUAGGUGCUCGUCUAUACAUUUUUCCUGAUAUAUUAUCAUGUGAUUAUUUAAACCUUUCUCUAUUUCAGAUUAUAUAUUAAGAUAUUUUGAUAAGACUAAAAGAGUUCCAUUAGCUCCUGAGGUAAUAAUAUAAGAUGGUAUCGAUAGCAAUGGCUAUUUUUCCAGUUUUGCCGGUCCACGGUCUAUAGGAAUCAGGUUAUUUACGGCUUUUAACUCUGUAGUUAGUUAUAGGUCAAAAAUGUUGGGUGUACUCACUUGAUAGCUAUAUUUAUUUAGGUGUUUUUGAUCAAAAACAUUCCCUAUUUUGUUUUAGAACAAGUCUUAGUGACAUCUGCCACCAAAGAUGGGAGAUUAAUUAGAACUAAUACUAGUAUAUUUCGGUAUAAGUAAUUUCAAGAAGCUAAAGUUUGUUAAAAUGCUUCCUCUUUUUAUGGGAGGGUUUGUGUGGGAACUGAUGUGGAACGUAUCCUUAAUCUUAUUAAAAUCUUUGAUUCUUGUAAGUCAUCAGGUUAAUCUAAAAAUAAAAUAUUAAUUCCCAUGUGUGAAAACCAUCUCUGAUUAAUGUCAGUCCAUGUAAGCCAUGUGAGGUGUUGGGGAUCUCUAGUUAAACUAUUAAAUGAUGAAUUGACUAUUUCUUGUCCAUAUAAGAACUAUGUAGAGGACUACAACCGACCAGUAGUUAUAAAACCGAUGGUCUUAACUUGUUAUGGCCACGGAAUGAAUAUGAAAUGUUCCAAUGGGGUAGGUGGUCGUAUUUUUUUUUCUUCUACUGAUUGCAGAGCUGCUUUUAAUUAAUAGUCCCAAUUCAAUCUUUUUUGUUCAUCUAUUAAUUAUUAUGCCAAUUGUGGGGGCAAUCAACACAUUAUUAUUGUCUUGUAAACAUUCUAGUUUUUGUUGUUAAAUUAAAGCACUCAACCUAACAAAAUGGGGUUUUGGGGGUAAUUGUUAUUAGUGGGGUUGUUCUUUUGUGAGGAAAUUAUUUAAGGAUAUGGUUUUAAAGUUGCUUUCUUCACAUUCUUCCUUCUUCCUCCCCUGUUAAAGAAAACACAUUAAUGUCUGAGUAAGAAAGAAUUUAAUAAAUGCAGUGUGUUGUUGAUCUUAAUGGAUAGUAAUGAAGAGGAUAUACUAUUCAACUUACAAUUGAGUCUCUUGUUUUAGAUCCACAUCCACUUCCUAAUCCUACCCAAAGGAAGACAAGUCAUCGUGCAUGGAAAGUUUUUUCCACUUACGGGUGUAAGUCGAACCAAGUAGUUCGAUAUUCGACUCGAGAUCGGCUCGAAAAUAUGAUCCAAAGCUUGAAUUCGAAGUUGAUUCUAGUCGAAUCUGAUCCAUACUCGUUUUCUGUUUAAUGAUACACGAGUUGAAUUCGAGCCCUACCAGUGUUCGCUCAUAUUAUGGUUCGAAUAUUUCAUUUUUUCUCGAACCAUACUCGAUACCUGCUCGAUAGAUCAUAUUCGAAUAUUGCUAAUAAGCUAAAUAUGUGAUAUUUGUAUUAAUCUUUAUAAUUUAUAAAGUGUAGUGUGAAAUUGUGUAAACUUGUACUUGAAUAAAUCAAUGAAUUGAAUAUCAAUUUUUAUUACAUUACUUAUAAUUUCA